rnacentral:lncRNA from 1 species
CUAAUGGUGGUGUGGGCCAGGUGAGAUCAUAGCCAGGACUAUCAUGGAAGUGUUAGGAUGUAAAAGUUACAGGAAUGUGUGAAACAGGAAACGAAUUUGUACGUUCAUAUCAACUUUUUUACCUAAUAGGGGUAAGAGAGUGCAGAUCCAGCAGCAUUGCCAUUUCCAGUAGAAUCCUUGUGGUGUUACUUUUUUUUAUUGUUCUGCUUUUUUGGGUAAUGUGUUUGAAUUUAUUUGUAUAUUUGGGAAUAAUAUUCUAGACACGUAGAUUUUAUAUAUAUGUUGUUUUUAAAUGUUAAAUGCUGGUUGUUGAAUUAUUGCAACUGUUUGUUGAACCAAGGACUAGUUUUUGGGAUCUGUAGCUGUGACUCCAAUUUAAUAAGGGAAAUUUGGCUGUAUGACGCUGAAAAAAACCAUAAUUCAUCUUCUAGCCAAUUUCCCUAAUAUAUCGAUACACCAUCUGUCUUACCUAUAAUAUUGCCAAAAUACCCUUUCAUUCUGCCGGUGAAACCUGAAGAAAAUAAAAAUAAAAAAUCCUAGUUAUUAGCUGUUUCAAAUUACUCGUGGCGUAAUCAUAUUCACAUCUUUCCUUUUACCUUUAUUUGGUAAUUUUUGAGAAAUUGAUCCAUGAUUUUCUCCACCUCUUCCAACCACGUUUCACUCCUCCCCAUCGCCACCGUCUGUGUUCUCUGAGUUUAUUUCUUUCUCUAAUUGUGUUGCAAAGGGAAUCGUCUCCACUUUGGAAAUCUAUUGCGAGAAGACGUCGUGACAGUCCAAUCGGGGAGAAGAAGCACACUGACCAUUUUUCCAUUCACAUCGGCGCUUUGUCUCAGAUCUAUUGCAAUACUGUAAGUUCUAGGGUGUGUGUUUUAGAUUCUAUUCUUGCGAUGCUCUUUUUCCCUAUUUGGGUUGCAUGUCGGAUCUAGUAGACAAAGGUCACCGAAUCGAUUUAGGGCUGAACUUUUACCGAUUUGUCUUACUCAUCUGUUUACAUCGAAGUCUAUGGUAAUUUUGUUUGGAAUCGAGACAAAGAUAGUAUAUGUAGAGCUAUUUGAUCGGUCUAUGCUAUGUGACAUGGAAUAGCUUAAAUUGUAUUUAGAAUUUAUAUUCCAUUCAAUGUACUUUUGUGUUCCAAGUUAUACGUAUAUAUACAAUACUAUAUCAAAUAGAAAUAAUUAUCUUGUUUUAUGUAUCGAGUGUAGUUCACUCGUCGCAAAUGGUAAUGUAUAACAAUUCCAUUCUAUGUAACCAUGUGUACCAUGUCAUAUAUAUAUUUACUAUUCCAUAUAAAUAGAAAUGUUUAUCUUGUGCUAUGUAUCGACUGUAGUUCGCUCAUGUCAUAUUCUCUUUGUGAUUCCAAGACAAAUACAUUUGGCUUAGAAUAAAUGUUUUUAUAGAACUAAGCGACUUUGACUUUGUAUAGGUUGCUCCGCUGUAGUGACACUUAUUAUGUUAUAAAUGCACGUUGUUGGGAUGGAAUUGAAGUGUGUGGCUUUCACUGAAGAAAAUGUUUGUGUAGCUGCGGAGAACUACUUGAUUGAAACACUGGCACUGUGUCAAGCCAAAGCACUCACCCAGGACGUGUAGACAUGGGUUUAUGGUUUCUAAGCAUUGUUUUUAUGUUCUAACUUUGCUUCUUGUUUUUAGAUACUACCAUCUAAACGACCUCCGUGUUGUAGUAAUGUUUUAUGUAGUGACUCCAACUCUAUGUAUCUUCUUCCUUUUUGUUGCUUACACUGGAAGAAUCACAUUCCAUAUGCGUCAAUUUGAAUUUGGUGUAAGCAUUACCUCCUUCUCUGCAAUCAUAAACACUUCAAAAUGUGAUCAAUAUGUAUUAUAUAAUGUUGGUUAGAUGAAAUAGAACAAUUAAUUAUAUACUAUUUCCGUAUUUUGAUUUAUUUAAAUUAUUUUUACAUUUGAGUUUGGGUUUAUGAAUUCAGGUUUUGGGUUUAGUAUUUAGGGCUUCCAGGUGGGUUUGUUCAGGGUCUAGUAUUUCAGGGUCGGAGGUUGGUUGAGGUUGGAGGUUGGUUGUGAUUCUGAUUAUGGUUAUAGUACUAUACUAUGUUGAUGAGAUGAAAUAGAACAGUUAAAUUUUACUAUUUUCGUAUUUUAAUUUAUUAAAGAUAUUUUAUAUUUGGGUUUGGGUUUAUGAAUUCGGGUUUAGGGUUUAGUAUAUAUGGCUUUAAGGUGGGUUGGUUUAGGGUUUAGUAUUUCAGUGUUGGAGGUUGGUUGUGAUUCUGAUGGUUUUAGUAUUAUAUUACGUUGGUGAGAUGAAAUAGAAUAGUUAAUUAUAUACUAUUUUGUAUUUUAAUUUAUAAAAGAUAUUUUACAUUGGGUUUGGGUUUAUGAAUUCGAGUUUAGGGGUUAGUAUUUAUGAUUUAGAGGUGGGUUGGUUUAGGGUCUAGUAUUUCAGGGUUAGAGGUUGGUUGGAGUUAGAGGUUGGUUAUAAUUCUAAUUGUGUUUAUAGUACUCUACUAUGUUGGUGAGAUAAAAUAGAACAUUUUCUUUUCCAUCAUGUGUGUUGCAUACAGCUGUCAUAUAUGAUUUCUUUUACGUGAUGUCUUUGUAAAUAAUAGUGAUUCAUUAUUGAUCAGCAAUAAAAAUUUCUUGGGUGUAUUAAAUUGGUACGUGGCUGCAUCUGUUUCUAUCAAAUAAAGUAGUAUUAAUUUAAUUUUCACCCUAUGUUAUUUUGACCAAGUCAUAUCUAGCAAUACAAUAUUACCGGAUGAUUACAGGAAGAAGGGGCAGAACCGGAUAAUAAUUGACAUAAAUGAUAGAUAUUACAUUACGUCAAAAUCAAUGCUACUUACUUAAUUUUGAUGCCAAAGUUGGUUAGCAGGAUCCGUUAACCCGCUGGCUCAGCAGGAAACGGAAUCAUCACCAAGUCUCCAUUAGCAGGAUCCGUUGACCCGCUGGCUCAGCAGGAAGGUUCUAAUGGUGGUGUGGGCCAGGUGAGAUCAUAGCCAGGACUAUCAUGGAAGUGUUAGGAUGUAAAAGUUACAGGAAUGUGUGAAACAGGAAACGAAUUUGUACGUUCAUAUCAACUUUUUUACCUAAUAGGGGUAAGAGAGUGCAGAUCCAGCAGCAUUGCCAUUUCCAGUAGAAUCCUUGUGUUGUUACUUUUUUUUAUUGUUCUGCUUUUUUGGGUAAUGUGUUUGAAUUUAUUUGUAUAUUUGGGAAUAAUAUUCUAGACACGUAG